UUUCCUGUGGCUCAGUUGGUAGAGCAUUGCGCUAACAAACAUAAAGGUGGUGGGUUGAAAUCCCAGGGAAAG